rnacentral:lncRNA from 1 species
GAACCCUCCAAAAAGCAACACCAUUUUCGAAAAAGUCAAUCGCUACCGUAGAAGCACCAUGUCACUCGACACUGGCUGCUAAGUUUUCUCCAGCACUCUCUUCCACUUAAGCGGGUUGUCCAUGUUUCACCAUUCGACAAAGCCAUCGCCAUCUCAACAGUUCGGCCAUCGCGAAACAAUGAAGACCCACCUCAAGCAUCCAACAAAUCGCACUUCGUACACGGUAUUAUGACUCAAAUGAUAAGUAUGUGGUUUAAUUAGUGAUUUAUCUGCAGUAUUAUGUGAAUCGAAGUGCUAUUGUGAAUUGUUUGUUUUCCCGUAAUUUUAUUAUGUGAUUUCAUCUUAUUUCUUAAAAUUUAUGUUUACAGGUGUCAUCCUUCUUUGCAUCAAGCCAUCAACAUAUAUUUUCCAAAUCUGAAUAUGUUGUAUUGCUUUAAACUCAUUGUAUUAAAAGCAGAUUAGUUGUGAAAUAUAAUUUUUUUUUGAACAUUAGGUAGAUUGAUUAAUUCUUCACAAGAGAUUUGUUUCUUGUAUUUUGAGUUGCUGUGAAUUUGAGGAGAAUUGUUUCUUGCAUUUUGAGUUGUGUUUCGUACCUUUUAAGUUGCUAUUGGAUGUAAUUUGAGGAGAAAUGUUUCCUGCUUUUUGAGUUGUUGUUGAAUGGAAGCUGAGAAUUAUUGUUUCAUUUUUUAUGGUAUGCUCAUUUAUAAUUCUCUAUGUGAUUGCGUUCUCGGAAUGGUGGGUAAGAAUUCUGGACUAUGCCAUGGGUGCAG